GACGAACGCUGGCGGCGUGCCUAACACAUGCAAGUCGAGCGAAAAGACCAGGAGUUUUCUCGCCUGACGUUAGCGGCCGUCGGGAGAGUAACAUGUGGACAAAAUACCUCUCAGACUGGGAUAAUUAUGGGAGACCGUAGCUAAUACCGGAAAAUAUAUCGCAUCGGAUUGUUCAAUCGUGAAAGUCGGUUUUUGUGUCAGUAAUAGCUGGAUCAGCGCCCGAUCAGUUGGUUGGUAAGGUAACGGCUUAUCAAGGCUACGAUGGGUACCCGACCCGAGCGGGUGGUCGGCCACAUGGGAUCUGAGACACGUUCGAGACUCCUGCGGUGAGCAGCGGUAGAGAAUCUUCCGCGAUGGGGGAGAGCGUGACAGUGCAACGCCGCGUGAGUGAUGAAGGACUUCUGAUCGUAAAGCUCUGUUAGUAGGGGAGAACUAAUGUGUAAGUAACUAGGCAGAUCUUGACGGUACCGGGUCAGAAAGCCACGGCUAACUACGUG
rnacentral:rRNA from 1 species